AACGAACGCUGGCGGCAUGCCUAACACAUGCAAGUCGAACGAGACCUUCGGGUCUAGUGGCGCACGGGUGCGUAACGCGUGGGAACCUGCCCUUAGGUUCGGAAUAACUCCCCGAAAGGGGUGCUAAUACCGGAUAAUGUCUUCGGACCAAAGAUUUAUCGCCUUUGGAUGGGCCCGAGUUGGAUUAGCUAGUUGGUAGGGUAAAAGCCUACCAAGGCGACGAUCCAUAGCUGGUCUGAGAGGAUGAUCAGCCACACUGGGACUGAGACACGGCCCAGACUCCUACAGGAGGCAGCAGUGGGGAAUAUUGGACAAUGGGCGAAAGCCUGAUCCAGCAAUGCCGCGUGAGUGAUGAAGGCCUUAGGGUUGUAAAGCUCUUUUACCCGGGAUGAUAAUGACAGUACCGGGAGAAUAAGCUCCGGCUAACUCCGUG
rnacentral:rRNA from 1 species